rnacentral:rRNA from 1 species
GAUGAACGCUGGCGGCGUGCCUAAUACAUGCAAGUCGAGCGAACAGACGAGGAGCUUGCUCCUCUGACGUUAGCGGCAGACGGGUGAGUAACACGUGGAUAACCUACCUAUAAGACUGGGAUAACUUCGGGAAACCGGAGCUAAUACCGGAUAAUAUAUUGAACCGCAUGGUUCAAUAGUGAAAGACGGUUUUGCUGUCACUUAUAGAUGGAUCCGCGCCGCAUUAGCUAGUUGGUAAGGUAACGGCUUACCAAGGCGACGAUGCGUAGCCGACCUGAGAGGGUGAUCGGCCACACUGGAACUGAGACACGGUCCAGACUCCUACGGGAGGCAGCAGUAGGGAAUCUUCCGCAAUGGGCGAAAGCCUGACGGAGCAACGCCGCGUGAGUGAUGAAGGUCUUCGGAUCGUAAAACUCUGUUAUUAGGGAAGAACUAAUGUGUAAGUAACUAUGCACGUCUUGACGGUACCUAAUCAGAAAGCCACGGCUAACUACGUG